GACGAACGCUGGCGGCGUGCUUAACACAUGCAAGUCGUACGGUAAGGCCCUUUCGGGGGUACACGAGUGGCGCACGGGUGAGUAACACGUGAGUAACCUGCCCACAACUUUGGGAUAACGCUAGGAAACUGGUGCUAAUACUGGAUAUGUGCUCCUGCUGCAUGGUGGGGGUUGGAAAGCUCCGGCGGUUGUGGAUGGACUCGCGGCCUAUCAGCUUGUUGGUGGGGUAGUGGCCUACCAAGGCGGCGACGGGUAGCCGGCCUGAGAGGGUGACCGGCCACAUUGGGACUGAGAUACGGCCCAGACUCCUACGGGAGGCAGCAGUGGGGAAUAUUGCACAAUGGGCGCAAGCCUGAUGCAGCAACGCCGCGUGCGGGAUAACGGCCUUCGGGUUGUAAACCGCUUUCAGCAGGGACGAAGCUUUUUGUGACGGUACCUGCAGAAGAAGCACCGGCUAACUACGU
rnacentral:rRNA from 1 species